ACUGUGAGAUCGGGCCCAAACGGGUGCCGAGUGUCGCGGGAGGCCGAUUGCAAGUGACGACGAGCAAUCGGAACGCAAGUUAAGGUGGGUUGUGUUUACCGAAGCGACUAGGUCGCCCUUUAUGUCUAAGAUGAUUAAGAAUCUAUGUUGAUGCAUAUGAAUGUAAAUGCGGCAUAUAGAUGAUGCAUAUAAAUGUAAAUAAAGCAUGUGGUUGAUUCAUGUAGUUAAUGCAUGUUAAUAAUAUGAUGUAAAUGCUAAGUAGAUCCAUGUAAAAUGAUAUGAUAUAGAAUACAUGCUAGUGAUAAUGCAAAUGAUAUGUAUGUGUGCAUUGGAAUGUAUGCUAGGUGCAUGUAACAUCAUGUGAGCAUGUUAGAUAAGAUGCAUGUGCAUAUGGACUUGAUAUGACAAGUAGGAUAUCAAGUAGAUCGAGUGGCAUUAACCUAGUGUUAACAAACAUA
rnacentral:lncRNA from 1 species